rnacentral:rRNA from 1 species
UACGGAGGGGGCUAGCGUUGUUCGGAAUUACUGGGCGUAAAGCGCGCGUAGGCGGCCCUGCAAGUCGGGGGUGAAAGCCCGAGGCUCAACCUCGGAACUGCCUUCGAUACUGCGGGUCUCGAGUCCGGGAGAGGUGAGUGGAAUUCCUAGUGUAGAGGUGAAAUUCGUAGAUAUUAGGAAGAACACCAGUGGCGAAGGCGGCUCACUGGCCCGGUACUGACGCUGAGGCGCGAAAGCGUGGGGAGCGAACAGG